UUAUGUCAUUAUUAACAGUUAGUGUAAGGUGGCGAGCUGGCAGAACCGUUAGCACGGCAAUAAAAAAUGCUUAGCUGCAUUUCUUCUAGCCUUAUUCUAUGAGUUCAAAUUCUGCCGAGGUAGAUUUCGCCUUUCAUCCUUUCGGUGUCGAUAAAAUAAGUACCAGUUAAACACUGGGGUCGAUGUAAUCGAUUUACUCACUCCUCCGAAAUUGGUAGUCUCGUGCCAAAUUUGAAACCAAUAUUAUUUCAAUUCCAGCCAAGGUCAACUUAGUCUUUUAUCCUUCUGGGUGAUGAAAUAAAGAACUAGUCAACUAGAUACGAGAGGUUGAUGCAUUCGACUAAACCCCUCCCUCAAAAUAUUUGAUUUGUUCCUGAAUCAGAAAUCACUAUCUAUCUGUCUGUCUGUCUGUCUGUCUAUCUAUCUAUCUAUCUAUCUAUCUAUCUAUCUAUCUAUCUGUCUGUCUGUCUGACAGUCUAUCUGUGUGUGUGUGUUCGCGUAAUUACAGCUAUAUGAAUAUUCGGUCUGUUGUAAUACUAGGUAUAGAUCAAUGAUUUCUGUCUUAUAAGCAAUAUUCUCUCUUCUUAAAUGUGUACUUGUGCGUGAAAAUCCGUCACGCAAUAGGCACACAAAGGAAAUUAAGCUUCUCACAUAAUACUAAAUUAAACAAUAAUAUUUCAACAUUUGUUUGAAACAAGUGAUAAAUGGCACAAAGUAGUGCUUUGUCAACUACUCUACUUUGUUCUGAAGCCUAAAUGUGAUAUACACAUAUGUGGACUUAACAGAGAAAUACAGUAAUUAUCUUCAUGUCUCACAGGAAAUAAUAGUUGCUGAAGUAACCGAGCGUAAGUAUUUAGUCUCAUUCCUUUAGGUUCAAACUGUGCCGACGUCGACAUUUCCUUUCAUCUUUCCGGAAUGCUAUGCCCUCUAUCAUUGAUAAUAUUACAAGGUGAUUGAAAAGUAUCUCCCUAUUUUAAAAUACUUAUAAUUUAUUUAUUAACUAUAAUUUUUAGAAAAAAUGAAUAUGUUAAGAAAGCGUAUGGCAUGGAAUUUUAUUUAAAUUCGAUAUAGGCACCAGUAUUCGCCACAGAGUUUCUCAAGCCACCCAGGAACCGUAUCAACUGAUUUUGGAAAACAUAACUUCUCGUAUUCACCCUUCAAGUUCUUCCAAAGUCGUUGGUUUGAUAGAGCAGACUUGAUCCUUUAACCGACCCCAAAGAAAGAAGUCGCAUUCGGACCUCGACGACCCAUCCAUCUCCCAGAGAAGCGGGCAUUCAGCCAUUCACGAACAAUAGCAAAAUGUGGAGGAGCGCCAUCUUGCGUAAAAAUCAAAUCUUCAAUAUUCUCCCAAGUACUGAUAACCGAUCAGAUUUCAUCUUGCAGCAUGGAGGUACCUUUCAGCAUUCAUGGUAUUGCAAAGGAUGAAAGGACCCACAAUCCUGUCCAAAGUCAUUCCACACCAUACCGUUACUUUGUGCCGAUUCUGCAUUUUUUCAGAGGUAAUACGAGGAUCUUCUCCUGCCCAGUAGUGGCAGUUGUGACGGUUCAGAGACCUACCGAUGUGGAAUAGCGCUUCAUCACUUCAGAGGAUAUUCUUAAAGAGAUCAGAUCAUGUUUGUAGGGCUACUAAAUUUCAAACAAAAUAAUCGAUCUGAAAAAAAAACAACAUAGCAUUAAUUUCCAUACCUUAAAGAACAUACGCAAUAAAUUUGAGAAAAACAUUAUUGUUAAUAAAUAAAUUAUAAGUAUUUUAAAAUAGAGAGUUACUUUUCAAUCACCCUGUUUUAUAAAGUUCCUAGUUGUCCGCUUUACAGAAACGGCGUUGUCUGUGGUUGAGCAGUCCGAUGCGUGAAUGGCAGUCCCGGUGUUGUGUGAGUUGUAGCAUUCUAUUUUAUGGAUCCACGUUUCUACCGCUACAUUCAUCAGUCUUCCUACUCCUGAUUUCAGCUGCCUGGGCGGACUGGUUGCUUCUCCAUCUGGAGUGGGCGAUAGCUGUUCAAUGGGAUCUGAGGAUUCUCCCACCGUCGGGAACAAUCCAUUCUUGAAUAAGAAUAAAUUGAUUAGGAAAGGAGAACCUUGACCAGAAAACUUUACACAUCUUCCUAGAUUGGUGAGAUUGACGGUAUUUAUAAAGGAAAAUGCGAGUAUGGGAUGAACCGAGAGUCUGGCUCGAAAACUUGCUCCAGAUGUAAAGUCUAUUAAAGUGAAGCAAAGGCAACCAGGUGGCGUUGUUAAACAGGGUGAUGUAUUAGGCCGACCUAAUACAGGUAAGUUUAACUCACACACAAAUUGAGAUGUGAGACACAGUAAACGAGAGGAUGGAGAUGAUGAUGACGACGACGACGACGUUGAUGGUGAUGAUGAUAAGGAGGAGGAAGACGAGAAACGGGUCGGAGGAAAGCGACAUGGCCCAAAGGGUGAGUUAAAACAAACAAAGGAUGAUGUAGAAGCAGUUGAAGAAGUAAGUAAUGACUAGAAUCAGGGGUGCACUAGAAUACAUCUCGCUGUAUUUAAAAAUCUGUUGUGAUCCCCUCAGCCUUUUAUCUUUCUGGGAUCGAUAAAUAAGUACCGGUCAAGUAUUUAUUUUAUUGAUCCUAAUAAUUGUGACCUCGUAUCAAAGAAGAAAUCAAUAUUGUUAUAUUCAGAAGUAUCAGUAAUUACCAAUUAAGUGUGUGCUCGUUAGAAUGGGUAAUUAAGUGAGUAAAUCUGUGUGUGUGUGUGUGUGUGUGUGCUAGAAUGAGUAAUUUUAGUGUAUGUUUGUAUGUGUUAUGAGCAUUUUAGUGUGUGUGUGUGUGUGUGUGUGUUAAUGUCUAUGUUUAUGUGUUCGUCUGUAUAUGCGUGUAUUUACAUGUAAACACAUACACUAUUAAAUGCAGACAAUAUAAAAUACACACUAUAAUAGACUUGCUAUCUUACACACUGGUAUAAAAAUAUAAAAAUGUGCACACCAUGAUAUAAGUAGACUAUGAUGAACACAUGCUAUUAUACACACCAUCACAUUCAUAUGUUAUGAUACAUACACACAUUGCAUGUAUAUCAGCGUGUUUAUUUUAUUCUAUAUGUUUAACUCUAUUACGGUUACUCUAGUGUAUUUCGGUGUAUCUUUGUGUGAAUAUUUUGGAGUAAUUUACUGAGUGUAACUCACAGCAUAUAUCCCAUAUGUGUGCGUGUGAGUGAGAACGUGGAUGAAUAUGUUAAGUCAGUUAUUCCUAAAAUUAAACUUGAAACCCUAGUUUACUGAUUCUAUGAAUAACAUCAUAUAUCUAAAAAAUAUGAUAUCAUAUAGAUAUAUGAUUUUUUAUAUAUAUGAUUGGCCUGAAGAUACUCUUCAGGCCAAGGAUGUCUUGAUUAAAUGAAAGUUUACAUUGUCGCAAGGAGGUACAUGUUAACACAUGGAAGAUUCAAUAUGAAUGUGUAGAGAGCAGAGAAGGAGAGGAGGAUAUAAAUGUAGUGAGAAAUAACUCUAGCUCACUCUAGCUUUGAUGGUGGUGCUACAUGAGCCGAUAUAUGAGUAGUUAAAGUACUGUACACUUAUAAACAAUGUUUAUUGUGAGACAGCGGUGAUCUAAAGGACAAGAAGUUGGGUGUCUGAAGCUGCAUAGGUUUGUAGGGGUUAUUUCAGAUGAACUUUUGAAGGGAUUGCUACGCCUUCUCUCAAAGUAUUAGUGCUUCAGUGCUUUUGGCCUCUUCCAGCAGCCUAGCUGUUGCAUCGAGGCAAUUUUCUUGUAGUGACGCUUUGUAACAACCAUAAUUGGGAGCAGAAAUCCAGACGACUGAGCACGAAUAUUCUCCAAUGGAGCAGCAGGGUUUCCUUUUCCGUGUUCUGAACACACACACACACACACACACACACACACACGUACACACGCACACAAACGGCCAUACACGAACGUAGAUAUGUACAUAUAUAUAUAUAUUUGUGUGUAUAUACACACACAUAUAUAUAUAUAUAUAUAUAUAUAUAUAUAUAUAUAUAUAUAUGCAUAUAUACAUAUACAUAUGCAUAUAUAUACAUUAUAUAUUUGCACAAAUAUUACGUAUGUGUGUGUGUGAAUUUGUAUGCGUGUUUGCAUGUGUGUAUAUAUAUAUAUGUGUGUAUGUGUAUAUAUAUAUAUAUAUAUAUAUAUAUAUAUAUAUAUGCUUUAUAUAUAUAUACACGCACAUACAUAUAUUAUUAUCAUUUCGUACGCUAACAUGAAAUGAAAUAUAUCAAACUUAACUCGGUAAACAGGGGUAAACGUACACAGAACGGAAACACAAUCGCGUGAUAUAAACAAGCGCGCGCACCUACCUCACACAGUAAUGGCACUUAACAGUAACGGAAUAUAUUUUCAUUUCAUGAAAACUAUAUUUAAUGUAUCUAUAUUCAUUGAACUUGAAAGGCAGCGGAUAUUGUGCCUAACUUCAAAAUAUUAAUCAUUUACUGAAUUACCCAUUGAUUUCUAUUUAUGAAAUUAACAUUUCUAUAAUAUAGUGUACUUCAUAUAUCUAAAAACUAAUAUUUAUACUUCUGCUUUGGAUAAAGACUGCCUGUCUUGCCUACCAUGACAAUACAUAUACACACGCACACCGAAGCACGCACAAUCAUACACCUACGGAUUAUGGCAGCUUUUCUGUGGUCGACUUUCUUGCAACAAAUAGUAACCGAAUCUCUCUUAUAUCACAUUAUACUGGUUUAAAACAGGACAUCUUAUAUAAUAUACGAUUCAAUACCAUAAAUCCCCAUUACUCCAAUUAAUAAUACAUUUCAUGUAUUACCUAUAUUUUGCUAUAAUCUCUUUCGAAAUAGUCCUGUUAGGAACAUGCACAUAACUCGUUGGCAAAUUUACCAAACUCCUUGCAAGUUUUGAUGGAGGUAUUUUACUCGUACUUGUUAGUCUUUGUAAAAAUCACAGAGACGGACUCACAAAGCCUUGAAUAAUAAUUGAAUACGAGUAGCUAAUGUGUGUGUGUGGGGGGGUGAAUUUGUGUGAAUCUGUGUGCUUUUGUAUUUGUGUUUGCUCCCAUCACUGCUUGACAACAAGAUUUGGUUUGUAUACGUCCCCAUAACUUAGUCGUCCGACAAUACCGGCACAACAGAAUAAGUACCCUACUUAAAAAUUAUUACUGGGAUCAGUUUGUUAGACUAAACGCUUGAGGUUAGUGCUACAGCACUCCAAAUACUGAAACAAAUAAAUGACAAAAGAUAUACAUCUUCAAUUACUCUCCAUCAGUCACAAUGCGUUAGUGAACGACAAAUAGCGAUAACUCCCACUCUUGAAGAUUUAAUAUUUCUCCGCUUCAAGCUCAUCUUCAACUGGUCUUUGAAUCAAUUCUUUGAUUUUUUUUUCCAAUCAUGAGCUGACCUUGGAUUAGCCGUCCGUAGAGAAUCUAGUAGAAGAGGCACGAUCCAGGCAUACUAUAUGUCAGAGUUAUCUCAGUUGAUGCCUGUAUACAGGCCUCUCUUAACAAGAUCACUGGGCCCUGUCUCGGGAAAAGCAACGCACUGGUGCCCCUACAUAGGCAACUACACCAAUAUGUAUUGGGUUCCUACACCCUUGAGUCCACUGGGUAACUACUGUGUCCAUGCAUUAUGAUGGGUGGAUUCAAUGCUACUUGUGUCGGUUCGAUAGACGAUUUCUGGGUGCAUAAUCUUCCUUUGUCAGGUGAUUUGAAAAGACACACAAGCACACACACACACACACACACAGUCACUCACAUGCGCGCACAUGCACACACACUUUCAACGUAAGUACAGAUAUACAAUAACUCAUAUGCAUGCACGCACACACACACAUACGCACAACAUACGUUCACAUAUACAGUCACUCACGAGUGAACUCGUCUAAGCCAGCAGCUCCACCUCAACAUGUUUCAUUUCACUCGCAUCUUCUCUCCCCCCCCACUCAUACUCCCUAACCUCUGUAAUUGACUCACACUCACACAGUAUCUUUCUCUCCCUCACAUCUCACCUCCUUCCUCUUUCUUUUACAUUAACUCUCUCCAGCCCACCUUCUCACUUUAGCUAUUUGCCAUCACUUACUUUGUUUCACACACACACACACACACACACACACCUCGCAUUAAUGCGGGAGCAAUCUACGUAGUCUCCCGAUUUGCUAAAAACAGCAGCGAAACAUACAUCUCUUAAAUCAUACAUCCUGCACUACCUUAAAGAAAGGAUACAUUUAAUAUCAUAUUCUUGAUAUCCAAUGUCUGAAUAAAAGAUCGAAUAGUCACGACUGGGAUACAAUAGGGCAAACGUUUUCGCAAUCAGGAGUGACCUAGGGCUAAACACCAGCAUUAUGAACAACCCUCCUCCUUUUUCCUUCCCUCUAUCGCCUCUUUCCGACUCUGUAUCUAAUCCACUUCACCUUACUACUCCAUCUCAUACUCCCUUACUCCCCGCAUACACUUCUAUACACACCUUAAAUGCCUCUCUUCAUUCUUCUUCUUGUUCUCACCAACAUCUCCUCAUCAUGGCUCAUCCACCGCCCAUAACUCCACCGAACUCCAACAUCUUUCACCCAAAUCUCAUAUACGCUGUAUUGCUUAGCUUAUCACACUCUGCUCCUUUCAAUACAGAACUACAAGUGACACACAUACACACACACACACACACACACACAAGCGCACUUAAAAAGAGAGAGAAGAGGAGGAAAUUGAUAGAAAGAGGAACAUGCACAGACAAACAUAUUUGCAAAUAUAUAUCCAUAUAAACAGUUGGAUAUUGGCAACUGGUUUUAAAUUGAUAUUUAUCAAAUUAAUAUUCAAUUUUUCACCUUUAUUAUUUAAAUUUAAACAGUUGGAUAAAUAGAUAGAUAGAUAGAUAGAUAGAUAGAUAGAUAGAUAGAUAGAUAGAUAGAUAACUUUUUCUUGUGGCCACACAGGGCUAAACACAGAAUAAAAAUGGACGAAAUACAAUAUAGAGUUUUUUUCCUUUCGAGGUGGGAUGGGUGGGACACAAAGAAAAAAACGUUCGAUCAAUAGGGAUCUGUGGGUUGUGUGGUGUAUAAAAAUAUUAUAUAUAUAUAUAUAUAUAUAAAUAUAAAGUUCACAGUUUAGGUGUAGCCCUGGAAAGAAAAACCUACAAAAAAGACCAAGAUCACCUCAAACAGUUCCAAAAUGAACACAUGAGUAAGUCACCUUACCUCUCGUUGUCUCUUUUGGUUACAGAUUUACGCUUAAAAUAGAUAGAUAGAUAGAUAGAUAGAUAGAUAGAUAGAUAGAUAGAUAGAUAGAUAGAUAGAUAGGUAGAUAGGUAGGUAGGUAGAUAGAUAGAUAGAUAGAUAGAUAGAUAGAUAGAUAGAUAGAUAGAUAGAUAGAUAGAUAGAUAGAUGGGGAGAGUAGGGUGAGAGAGUAGCAUUAUGAUGCAUUUAUAUAUUCAGACUGAUUUCCCCUUAUCGGUUGUUUUUGCCACAAUAUUUCGGUUGUUGUAAGGCGACGAGCUGGCAGAAACGUUAGCACACAGGGCGAAAUGCCUAGCACUAUUUCGUCUGCCGCUACGUUCUGAGUUCAAAUUCCGCCGAGGUCGACUUUACCUUUCAUCCUCUUGGGGUCGAUAAAUUAAGUACCAGUUACGCACUGGGGUCGAUAUAGUCGACUUAAUCCGUUUUUGUGUCCUUAUUUGCCAUCUCUGUGUUUAGUCCCUUGUGGGUAGUAAAGAAAUAGGUAUUUCGUCUGCCGUUACGUUCUGAGUUCGAAUUCCGCUGAGGUCGACCUUGCCUUUCAUCCAUUAGGGAUCGAUAAAUUAAGUACUAAGUUGCGUACUAAGGUCGAUCUAAUCGACUAGACCCCUCCCCAAAAAUUUUGGGCCUUGUGCCUAGAGUACAAAAGAAUAUUUCGGUUGUUGUAACCUGCGGCCUUCUUCAGGUACCUGACGUAUUCGGCAACGUUCAUCGGUUUUCAAACCGAUUUUAUAUUAAGUCAGCAGGAGUAGAUUGUUCUCAUUUCGUUCUGAUGCCGUUUAACCGUUCUACUUUAACCACGAAUGAAAUUCACGCCCACGAGGUAAAUUAUUACAUUUAAUCCACCUUUAUAAUCAUUAGGCUAUUACCCCGUAGGAUAACUUGAUGAAUGUAAAUUAAGAGCUUUAAACCUAACAUUUAAUGGCUGUUGGUUUAAUAUUCUUUAUAACUAAUGAAGAAAGAACUUUAAAUCUGAUUAGACUAUGCAAAUGAUUAUGUUUCAGGCUUCUAAUUUAUAUUACUGAUUUCUCCUAUGGAGCAAUAGGAAACUGAAUAUAAAUGUGAUUAUGUGUAGUAAUUUAGUUGGUGAGUUAAAUCGGUGGUUUAGGCGGAGCGAGCAAGUUGCAUCGAGAAGAACAUCUAACAUGAAAGUAUUUAUGUUACGUACAAUGGAAUGAGAGAAAUCCACCGUCAUAGAUUUGAUGAAAUUCGGACAAUGUUGCUGUAUGUGAGAAUGGCCGAAACGCUGUGACCAUACCAACGCCUCGGCGGAUUUGAUUGUAGAACGUAAAGAACAGGAAAAAGACAACACGGUAAUUUUCUGACGCUCUAACCAUUCUUGCCAGCUUGCAGCCCUCUCUUAAUGUAACAGUGGUUUCAAAUUUUGGCACAAGGCCAGCAAUUUAGGAGCAAGGGUUUAGUCGAUUACAUCGACUCCAGUGCUCAACUGGUACUUAUUUUAUCGACACCCAAAAGAAUGAAAGGCAAAAAUCGAGUUCGGCGGAAUUUGAACUCAGAAGGUAAAGACGGAAGAAAAGCCGCUAAGCAUUUUGUCCGGCAUGCUAAUGAUUCUGCCAGCUCGCCACUUUAAAUGCUAAGUUGUCGUCUAAUAUUUUAAUGUAACAAAGGCUUCCAAUUUAGGAACAAGGUUAACAGUUUUGAAGGGCGGGGUCUUGCUGAUCAUCUGCCCUAGUGCUUGAGUGAUAGUUUAUCUGAUCGGUUCCAAAAGAACGAUAUGCAAAGUUGGCCUCGACGGGAAUUAUAAUCAAAAGGUGAAAAGCAGGAAGAAUUAUCUCGAAACAUUAUUUCCAACGGUCUGACCAAUCUGCCAUCUAGUCAUCUUAAUUUUAGUAUAAUAAUAAAAGAUAGACAGGCUGAGAUACAUACGUUCAAGUAAAGGGAUCUGCUGUCGAUGUCGACUGCGAAUAACUAAGUUGUUUAGUGGACUUAAACAUUGCAUCAGUUCAUUGGAUUAGCAUCUUGUAUCAUUAACUUAAUAUUCAGCGGAAUAUUGUGUAUAAGAAGGAUGACCCUUUGAAUGGCAGACGUAAUCAAUCCAACAAGCUUCAAUGCAAUUCUCUCUAAAUAUUUCAUUCAUAAGGCUUGAAUUGACACGAAACCAUAAUCACACAUAAGUACAUAUAGUUUGACAGACAGAUAAACAUACAGGCUUACAUGCAGACAGACAGACAGAUAGAUAGACAUACAGAUAGAUAGAUAGAUAGAUAGAUAGAUAGAUAGAUAGAUAGAUAGAGAGAGAGAGAGAGAGAGAGACAGACAGACAGACAGACAGACAGACAGACAAGCAGGCAGACAGAGAAACAAACAGACAGAUAGACAAACAGGUAGGUAGAUAGAUAGAUAGAUAGAUAGAUAGAUAGAUAGAUAGAUAGAUAGAUAGACAGAUAGAUAGAUAGAUAGAUAGAUAGAUAGAUAGAUAGAUAGAUAGAUAGAUAGAUAGAUAGAUAGAUAGAUAGAUAGAUAGAUAGAUAGAUAGAUAGAUAGAUAGAUAGAUAGAUAGAUAGAUAGAUAGAUAGAUAGAUAGAUAGAGUUAAAUGGAAACCAACGCAUCUAACAGUGGAACUUCAAAAGUUUCACUUAAUUAAAAUUACGUCCGGAAUGAAGAGAAAACGAAUCAUGAGGUGUUAAAGAUAAUUCUUGUAACAAAGAGCAAGUGAAACCAUCUGACCUUUGGCAAAUAGGUUGACAAAUCAUGAAGGAGAGUGAAAGAGAGAGAGAGGGUGGGGACUGAGCGGGAGAGAGGGACGGAGUGAGAUAUGGAAUCGAUACGGAGACGGAGGUAUAAACAUACUAUCUACGUUAUUCAUCAAUCCUCCCACUCUCCCUCUCAAUGUAUGUGUAUUUAUAUACAUACAUAUAUACAUAAUACAUACGUAGGAGUGGCUGUGUGGUAAGUAGCUUGCUUACCAACCACAUGGUUCCGGGUUCGGUGCCACUGCGUGGCACCUUGGGCAAGUGUCUUCUACUAUAACCUCGGGCCGACCAAAGCUUUGUGAGUGGAUUUGGUAGACGGAAACUGAAAGAAGCCCGUCGUAUAUAUGUAUAUGCCUAUAUGUGUGUGUGUGUGAGUGUGUGUAUUGACAACCGAUGCUGGUGUGUUUACGUCCCCGUCACAUAGCGGUUCGGCAAAACAGACCGAUAGAAUAAGUACUAGGCUUCCAAAUAAUAAGUCCUGGGGUCGAUUUGCUCGACAAAAGGCGGGGCUCCAGCAUGGCCACAGUCAAAUGACUGGAACAAGUAAAAAAAAUAAAAGAGUGAAAGAGUCUAUAUAUAUGUAUAUAUGUAUAUGUAUAUAUAUAUAUAUAUAUAUAUAUAUGUAUAUGUGUGUAUAUAUAUAUAUGUACACAUAUAUAUAUAUACAAUAUAUAUACAAACCUUCCGAUAUAUAUAUAUAUAUAUACACAUAUAUAUAUAUAUACAUAUAUAUAUGUAUGUAUGUAUGUAUAUGUAUGUACAUACAGCGCGGUUCUUCUGUAACCCAGGACCGACACAAUGACUUGUGAGUAAAUUUGAUAGACAGAAAAUGUGUGGAAGCCACUGAUACAUAUAUGUAUAUAUGUGUGUAUGUGUGCGCGCGCGUGCAUGUCCAUAUUUAUGUGUGUGUGCGUGUGCGUGUGUGUGUCUGUGUGUGUGUGUGCGUGUGUGUGUGCGUACGGGCGUGUAUAUACAUAUGUGUAUCUUUAGGUUUGUUCUCCACCACUACUGCUUGAUAAUCGGUGUUGCUUUGUUUAUGUUCCGUAACAUAGGAGUUCAGUCAUACAAUUAAUACCGAAUUUGUUCGACAAAAACGUUUCAAAGCUGUGGCUCACCAUGGCUGCAGUCGAAUGACUGAAACAAAUCUAUAAAGCUGAAGUUGUCUGUGUGUGUGUGGCAGGUUUGGUAGCCUUCAACUAACACUAUCUCCUCCGAGACCCUGCGGCGUAAGUUGACCAAAAUUGAGAGUAUGAUAGAAGAAGGCUUGCUCUUCCUUCCGUAGAAGAAAAAUUCAAAUCGGACCAUGUAACACCAAAACUUAUUUACAUCAAAAAGGUGCUUUUUUUCUAUGAAAAUCCCUAUUUUCUACGAUUUUUGACUGCUGUGUCGCCAUUUUUCGGUGUUUUUCAACCAGAAAAAUGUUCACUUAAAGAGAAUAACAAGCUACAUAAUGCAAAAUUUUUACUUUUCAAAAAUUCCAAUUCUAAAGGGUCGAAACAAACCCGAGCAACGCCGGGCGAUACUGCUAGUAAAAGAUAAAAGUGAAAAGAAUAAAAAGGGGAGAAAAGAGAAACUAAAGGCAAGCAAGAAAGGAGCUAAAAUUUCGCCACCCCACCAAGAAAUAAUUAUUAGGAGAGAGGAAAACAGAGGGAGACUGAUUGAAAAACUAAUCACUUUUCUCAGUCUGUAAUAACCUGAAAGUUUCACCAGGAUGUUUAAAUUUAUUGAAUUAAUUAAUUAACAUAUACAAAUACAAUGCAAUGUGCUGAUCUGCAUACAUACAUACAUACAGGCAGACAUACAUACAUACAUACAUACAUGCAUGCAUGCAUACAUACAUACAUACAUACAUACAUACAUACAUACAUACAUGCAUACAUACAUACAUACAUACAUGCAUGCAUGCAUGCAUACACACACACAGACAGACAGACAUAUAGAUAUACAGACAGACAGACAGAUAGACAGACAGAUAGAUAUACAAACAUACAUACAUACAUACAUACAUACAUACAUACAUACAGGCAGACAGACAGAUAGAUAGAUAGAUAUACAGACAGACGGACAGACAGACAGACAAACAGACAGACAGAUAGAUAGAUAGAUAGAUAGAUAGAUAGAUAGAUAGAUAGAUAGAUAGAUAGAUAGAUAGAUAGACAGACAGACAGACAGAUAGAUAUACAGACAGACAGGCAAACAGACAGACAGACGUGCCUGCUUUUGUGCCUGCAGGCUGUACACAUGCAUCGUCACCUCUUCACAGCUGCGUGUAUACAAAGAUAGAUGCAUGACACAGAUUUGUGACCCACUGAACUUAGUAUGCCACCAAUCAUCGCAGCAGUCACCGAGGGGCGUAUCAGAUCUGACAGAAAUAGCAGUCAAAUACCACCUACAAAGGACUUAUAAUGAGGAAAUCAUGCUGGACAUAAUUAUUUAUAUAAUAUUGUAUCAAUUCAAAUGCUCGUGAAUUGACACAAUGAAAUCUAUGAACAGGAAAGACCAAAUAGGAUAAUGUCGAUCUAGAUACACUGUAUCUGAAAAUAUGAUGGCAUGCUCACGGCUGAAAUGCCUUAAAUUAGCACUUUUCAACAUGGUGAACUGGUUGUCUAUUAAAAAAGGACAACAAACACACACACACACACACACACACACACACACACACACACACACACACACACACACACUGUUCAUGUCACAUUAUAAGAAAAACAAUUUAAUAUUAAGCUCAAGAAUUAUUCAAUACAUUUUGUACAGAAUAUGUUUAUGUUUUUACAAGGAGAGGAGUGACAGUGCCUUUCCAUACCGUUCAUAUCACUAGAAUCCAUUCAGAUGAAUCCGUGUUGGUUCGGUUUAUAUCGACAAAGGGAAAGAAGAAUAGAACACUUUCUUUUGCGUAUAUGCAUUUAUAACCUUUUUCAUUGUUUCAAUGAGGCGCACUGAGAUAUAAUUUAGUUCAUAAAACUGAAACGGAGGAUGGACCGAACAUUGCCAGGAGCCUGUUUCAGAACCUCUGGUUUAAAAUCACAACACUCAAGCACAUAUUGCUACAUGACAAUAUAGUAGUUGGUUUCUAACAUUGGUACAUGAAGGGAGGAGAACAGUCGAUUUGGAAGAGGAUUAUAGUCGAUUAAUUUGACCUCAGCUUUUCUCUGGCACCUUGCUGAGAUUUGAACAAAAAUUGCAACGUAAAUUAAUAAAGUACCUCUUGACAUUUUGUCUGUCUAAUGCAUCAGACCAAAAUUUUCUUUUCGGUGAUUGAAUUUAUUCUUAUCGAUUUCUCCUAUUUUUAUUUUUAUUGAAUUCAAGGAAUGGUAUAGAGCGAAAUGGACUCUUUAAAAUCCGAAAUUCAAACAAUCAUUUAGAAAUAUCAUCAAGUUUGGGAGCCUAUUAUCAACUAACUAGUAAUGAUGACUCACAUAUCGCUGACACAUUUCUACAUUUUUGUUAGCAAAAAUCCUAUUCCACAUAUUCUAUAACUUGUUGACUCAGCAGGCUACAUCAACAUGUGUAUGUAUACAUAUGUAUUUCCUUAAAUCCUUAAAAGUGUUUUAGCCCGAAGGUCGCGGCCAUGCUGGGACACCACCGCUGUUUCUUUUUUUUUUUUUUUUUUUUUAUGUAUGCUCAUAACUUUUAAUGCAUUUCUAUGUUUAUGUGCACAUCCGUUUUUAUGGAGGAGUAGUUAUACUAUGCAUAAACUAUGUGGAACUGUUUUCAUUAUCGUAGCGAUAAAAAUCGGACACGUUUUCGCCCAUAUCAAAUGUGCGGAGCGUUCCUGUUGCAGACGUGUGAAAUCAACGAAACGGAAUAGAAAACUUGAAGAACUGCUUGUUAGUGCCCAAGUUGUUACACAAAAGACAGUGGGGAAGGAAUUACAUUUGUAAUGAUUAAAAACGAUUUCGCAAUGAAAGUAUUUCCUUUAUAUUUCGUACAAAAUCUGAAGUUAAAUGUAAAAAGUAGCAAAUACCGAUUAAAGGAGCGGUCAGGACCCCAGAAGAAUCAUGAGUAGUUCAGUGGUUCUCAACCGGGGUCCAUAAUAUGACCCUUGGGGAUCCAUAUAAGAUUUUGUUGUUAAAAUUUAUGUGCAAUAAAUUGCUUUUGCUUCUUCAAUACACAAUUUUGUUUUAUACAAUUCCUAAUGGUAUUUAAUUAUGAAGGAUUUUAUCCAUGUUGAAAGGCUAUGGAGCUCCAGUAGAGUAAAAUAGGAACCAAAGGAAUCCAUAGGCAAAAAUAGGUUGAGAACCAUCGGCUUCGUGCAUGUGAAUUCUUUGACUCACAUAUCCAAAGGUGAAACAGAAAGCAAACAGUGAUACUUUAGGCAAGUCUGUGGAAAUUCUAUAUUUUACUGAUAUUGUGACAAAACAUAUGUAAAGUGAAAGCAGUAGUGUCUCCUAGGUUAUAAUGUCUAAUAUGUCCCGUUUUUAAUACGAUUGGGCGUGUUUUGGGGGUUUGCUGGUGCGACGAGCUAACGAAUUUAAAUUUAAGUCAUCGCUUGAUCUGUCAGAAAUAGCAGCUGAAUCUUCGUCAAAUCACAGUCUUUAACACACACACACACACACACACACACACACACACACACACACACACACACACACACACACAAAUAUGUUCUAUCAGGGACAUAAAGAUUCUGUAGAGAUAAAGUCCUGUUGUACUACCAGACACGCAGCAAAGAAUUCUGUGGCUGAAGUUUUGGUUUCGGUGUUGGUAUUGAUUUUUUUAUUUAUUGAUACCUUUACUAUCAGGUUUUUUUUUUGUUCUCACAUAUUGGACACAUUUUUCUUCAUAUGAAAAAACAAUGGGAGGUCAAAAUCCGUGUUUACACUGUUUCUCAAUUCGCGUGAGGUUAUCAUGGACAAUUGAACAUGGCAAAUUCAGAUACUGUGCCAAAUCUUUGAUGCUACGGCAAAGAUCUAACUCAACUGUUUCUCUCAUAAGACUGUCAUCCAAAGUGUUUCGACUUUCAGUGAAACGCUUAUCAGAGAGAUCCUAAUCGCUAUUUUUAAACUUCUGAAACCACAGCUGGCAUUUACGAGCGAUUACUGCAUCACAAUGUACACCACAGAUGUUUUCCAUUGCCUGUGUAGUAGUAGUACUACCAUUUCGAAAUUCAUACAGUGAGCAACAGCGAAUAUAUUAAUCUUUAAGGUUUUUAUCUUCCGUGGGGUCAAACUGUACACAAUAAACGGCAGACUUCCGGAUCGACGAGAUGGCAAACUAGAUUUAGACGACGUUUUCUGCAAUGCCUUGGUUGGUUGAAUAAAAUUUAUAGCUGUGAAAUUCGUAAUUUCUUUCCAAACAUCCUAAUAUAAUGGUCGAUGACAGAAUUGGCAGAGCAUUGAACAAAAUAUCUUGUGAUAUUUCGUAGAGAGAGAGAGAGAGAGAGAGAGAGAGAGAGAGAGAGAGAGAGAGAGAGAGAGAGAGAGAGAGAGAGAGAUGAAGAGGAACAAGUAGGCAAAUGGAGACUGAUUGAUAUCUCUAAAAUAGAACACUGUAGCAAAGGUCAAACAGGAGCCAGCCGACAGGAAGUCCUCAGACUGAAUGUGUGAAAGAGUAAGAAAGUGCCAGAACAAAGAGAGAAAGGAAGAGAAAAAGAGAGAGAAGGAAAUACAGAAAGAGAAUGAGGAAAAGAGAGACAGACAAGCAGACAGAUACACAGACAGAGGGAACAAGUAUGAAAAGCAGAUUAUUCGUCUUUCUGUCAAAAUACUAUUAAGUUCUCAAAUGGUGAGAACUAUUAUCACUCCUCGAGCCUUUGAGGAGACCUCAAACCAAUUGUACAUCCUGCUAGAGAUAGCAAUCAAAUUUCCUACCAAUCACAGCUAACUCGUUAAAUAAAGAUACAUCAGGCAACAUCACCUCUGUUAUACAAAAUGACGAAAAGCCGUUGCUGAACCCCUUCAUCAUAGGACUGUUCAAUCAGAAUUAAAUUGGAGUUAAUAAUAAACAACAACAACAGCAAACAACAGCGGUAACAACAACAACAGCGGUAACAACAACAAACCAGAGAUGAUGACUUUAACGGUCGCUCGAUCUGCUAGAAUUCGCAGACAAAUCAAACGCCCCAUCCACUGUAACAUGCAGUAGUUAAUCAUGGCGACAAGCCUUCAGAAGCUGAUCUACAUAUAUAAGACUUUUGUGUGAGGCACAAGCUUGAGACUGGUAAUUCCCUAGAUUCGCGAAAGGCAGCUCAUUUGGAAGCGCUCCGAAGCUUUAAUGUGACGAGUGUAGGUCAUCCAUCUUCACAGCUAUAGAAGGGUGCUGUUACAGACUACAUGAUAUACGAUUGUAUCUGAGGAGGAAUAAAGGUUCUCCGAAGGGGAUAAACAAACCAAAGACAGUUGUCAAGCGGUGUUGCGGAUAAACAAAAGUACAUAUACAGGCACAUACACAUAGAUCUACACACACACACACAUACACACACACACACACACACACGCACAUGCAUGUGUUUGUGUAUACGACGGGCUUCUUUCAGUUUCCGUAUAUGUAUGUGAGUAUAUAUGUUUAGGUGUCUGUGUUUGUCCCCCACAACCGCUUGACAACCGGUAUGUUUACGUCCACGUAGCUUAGCGGUUCAGCAAAAGGACCGAUAGAAUAAGUACUACGCUUACAAAGAAUAAGUCCUGAGGUCGAUUUGCUCGACUAAAGGCGGUGCUCCAGCAGUCAAAUGACUGAAACAAGUAAAAGAAUAAAGGUGUGUGUGUAUGUCUAUAUAUAUAUGUAUGAAUGCAUAUAUAUACUCUUUACUCUUUACUCUUUUACUUGUUUCAGUCAUUCGACUGCGGCCAUGCUGGAGCACCGCCUUUAGUCGAGCAACUCGACCCCGGGACUUAUUCUUUAUAAGCCCAGUACUUAUUCUAUCGGUCUCUUUUGCCGAACCGCUAAGUGACGGGGACGUAAACACACCAGCAUCGGUUGUCAAGCAAUGCUAGGGGGACAAACACAGACACACAAACACACACACACAUACAUAUAUAUAUAUAUACAUAUAUACGACAGGCUUCUUUCAGUUUCCGUCUACCAAAUCCACUCACAAGGCAUUGGUCGGCCCGGGGCUAUAGCAGAAGACACUUGCACAAGAUGCCACGCAGUGGACUGAACCCGGAACCAUGUGGCUGGUUAGCAAGCUACUUACCACACAGCCACUCCUGCGCCUAUAUAUAUAUAUAUAUAUAUAUAUAUAUAUAUAUAUAUAUAUAUAUAUAUAUGUAUGGCCCGCACACACGCGUAGGCGCGCACGGGCGGGCACGCAUAUAUACACACACCAUCCUACCCCCAAAAAUUCUUUAAACAACACACAUCUAUUUUCGCCACCCGGGAACCAUUCAAAAACAGACCCCACACACACGCAGACGCUUGUAUACGUGUGUGUGCACGCACACAGGGGCACGCACACUCACACCAGUCUCACCUCCAUACAGGCACAUAUAUACACACGCAGCACCAUGUCAAAUGCCAUCCACACUCAUGCGUGCGUACACGCGCACGCGCACAUGCACACGCACACGCGCACGCGCGCACACACGCACACACAACACCAUGACAACCACACACACUUGACAAACAGACGCCAUCUGACCAAAUACUACAGACACACAGACACAUCUAUUCACACACACGCAGAGAGACACAUAUAUUCACCUCAUCCUAACUCCAAAAUCAUUGAUGCUUGAAGGAAAGCCAUAAACAGAAAAAAACGGGUACAUCUUUCUCAAUUCAACAUUUCUGCUAAAACGGACAGGUCAGUAAACAAACUUGCCUUGAAUUCAUAAUAUUCUGUACUGACCCUGAGAUGUAUAAUAUAUUCAUUUUAAUCUUUUCUGCCCAUUUUUUCAAAUAUUCUCAUCAUACUGUUGUACUUUCUUAUGUCAUUAGGAUGUCCUUGUUACCAAAGACUGUUUAUAUACAUGUAAUGUGGCAAUUUGCAACAACCAAUAAUUAACGCAACCAAACUUCCAAUAAUAUAUUUGUUUUAUUCUUUUCUGCCCAUUUUUUCAAAUAUUCUCAUCACACUGUUGUACUUCUUUAUGUCCUUAACAUGUUCCUGUUACCAAAGACUGUAUAUAUACAUGUUAUGUGGCAAUUAUGUAAAAAACUUUUUUGAAUUCAUAAUAUUCUAUGUUACUUUUGACAAUCUUUUUCCAAAGAGUGAAACCGGUUAAGUAAAUAAACAUCUUUUAAAUUGCAUUUUCAAACCUUCUUUCGUAUAUAUAUAUAUAUAUAUAUGCAUAUAUAUAUACACACACACACACCCACACACACACUCACACACACAUAUAUAUAUAUAUAUAUAUAUAUAUAUAUAUAUAUAUAUUAUACAUACAUACAUAAUAUAUAUAUACAUACAUAUGCAUAUAUGUUUAUGUACAUAGAUGUGCGUGUGUGUGUAUAUAAAAAUGCAUAAAUAUAUACAUACACACAUCCAUAUACAAAUAUAUACGUGUAUAUGUAUAUGUAUAUAUAUUCUUUUAUUUUUUUACUUGUUUCAGUCAUUUGACUGCGGCCAUGCUGGAGCACCACCUUUAGUCGAGCAAAUCGCUCCAGGACUUAUCCUUUCUAAGCCUAGUACAUAUUCUAUCGGUCUCUUUUGCGAACCGCUAAGUUACGAGGACGUAAGCACACUAACAUCGGUUGUGAAGCGAUGUUGGGGGGAGGACAAACAUAGAGACACAAAUGUACACACACACACACACACAGACACGCAUACGCACAUACACACACACAUAUAUACGAUGAGCUUCUUUCAGUUUCCGUCUACCAAAUCCACUCACAAGGCUUUGGUCAGCCCGAGGCUAUAGUAGAAGACACUUGCUCAAGGUGCCACACAGUGGGAAUGAACCUGGAACCAUGUGGUUGGUUAGCAGACUACUUACUACGCAGCUACUCCUGUAUGUAUAUAUAUACAUAUGCGUGUAUGUAUAUUUAUAUGUGUAAAUGUAUAUACGUUUGCAUGUACGCAUAAAUAUACGUGUGCAAAACACACACACACACACACACACACACACACACACACACACAUACACACGCGCGCACACAACUUUGACGAAUAGCCAUCGCAGUUUCAAGGGAAUUUUUCAAAAUUCUUAAAAGUGUCUUCAGUCAGACAAUAAGAACGUCUUCCAUGACAAUUGAAAAGAAAAGCUUAUCUUAAAUUAAUAGUUAUCUAUGGCGUGCGAUGUAUAAUAAAAAUUCACGUGGAAAAAAUUUUGGACAAUAAACACGUCUUUGCAUAUAGUUACUAUUAUUCUAAAAUAAUUCCUCUGUUGUACACGUGAGUCACCUUGCUGGAUACAAGACUACAAAAAAGAUACCAACAACCGGCGUUUUAGAAUCAGACACUAUCGAAGGUGAACAAUAAGCUGUGGUCACAGCAACUAUAUACUAUGCGGCACUGACUAAAACAUAAUGGAGACACUCCGAUCCAUCUUCUUCGAUGGAAAUUAAUAAUCUUACAGCUUGAGCUUGAACCCAAGAGGUUGUGAGAGACAUGCUGCUACUGUAAACGACUAUAUAGAUGCAGGCGUAACUGUUGUGGCUAAGAUAACUUACUUCCCAACCAUGUAAUCAUGAUUUCAGCCUCACUAAACGACAUCUUGGCAAAUGUCUUCUGUUGAUGGAAACUGAAAGAAGCCCGUCAUAUAUACAGGUUGUUCGGGUAAAAUUGCAUAAAAGGGAAAGGGAACACAAUAUUCCAUUCAAAAUUUAAAAGCAUUUUAAAAUUCAUAAGACAUCAACUAGAUUAUGGCUCAGAAAUAACAGUUGACUCAAAAUAGCCGCUCUUAGCUUCCAUAAUGGCCUCAAGAUGGCUCCGGAAACUGGCGUAUGCGUCCAUCACUGUCUCUGGAAAGAUCUUUGAACACCUCCUUGAUCUUAGCCAGCAGCUCGACCUUGGCAUUGCAUGCAGAGUGGUUUGUGUCUUUAUGAACUGCACCCCACACAUGAGAUUAUAUUCAGGAAAAUUUGGCCAUCACAAAUUAGGGUUGAUGAAAUCUUAGAAAUCCACCGACGACUACUUCUGACUCUUUAUAAUUUAUCCCUGCAUUUUAAUGUGAUAAUAUACUAACCGGCUACUUUCCUCCGAUAGAGCCCGAUAACGUUUGUUUAUCGUUUGUUUACAUUUCCACUAAUUGCUUCGUCCAUUACUUUUCUCAUUCAGACAAUUACUUGUUAAUUUGAUAUAUAUCUCAGAUAUAUUCAUAUAAAACACUGGCGUGAUGAAGAUAACUUGGACGAUUUGGCAACUCCAUGGUAGAAUCAGCUGUAAAAGUUUAGUAUUUGUACACUCAUCUAUUCUUAUUCGUUUAUUUUUAUUUAUAUAUUUAUUUAUAUAUUUAUUUAUUUCAUUCGUAUGUGCGUGCGUUUGUGUAUGUGUGUGUGAUUGCAUGAAUUUGUGCGAGUGCGCAUGCGUAUUUAGUACACACAGACAAUAAAUAGUUCAGAAUUUAAAUAAAUGAGAUAUGGAUCCGUAAGUGCUUUUCAUCGCCCAUUCAUUAGUAAGACCCAUUAGACUAUUCACUCCUUAAAUAUUGUAUUUUGUAUUUUUUGUUUUUACUUUGUUUUUGUCUUGUAAUUUAUUGAUAGUUUUAACGGACCUGAACAACGCCAUUGUUCCCAAAUAUUAACUGACCAAUUAUGUUGCAGUAAUGACUUUGACCUCACUCUACAACUAUUGGGAUUAGGUUUCUGUUAAUAAGUAACAAAUAAUCACAUCGCACUAAGGUUUUACCAAACUUUUCUUUCAUUGAUAUACUUAUGUAUUGAAUCUUUCGAAACAGGUUCAAUUUAAGUCAAGUCUGCCAACUCCUUUAAAUAGCAGUUAGCCUCUAACUUCUGAUCCCUGUGACAUGGACCAUACCAUUAAACUCACAACACAACAUCUUACCCUGGCUAUUUCCUCUAGUAUAAUUGAAACACGAUGUAACCCACAGCCUGCGGAAAUUUCUCCUGAAAGUAGCUUCAUUUACCAUAAGAUGUAAAUGUGGAUUAUAAUAGCAUUGAAAAAUGAAGUUCUUACCAUUCCUUACUAUUUCUAUUAUAUUAUUUUAAUUUCAUUUUAUCUUAUUAUUUUAACUUACUUUCCCAUAUGUUAGUUACCUAACAUUUGGUCUCUCUGAUGAAGCCUUGAGGUCAACCAUUGUCCACCCCUGUCCAAUGUUUGUUCAUCCUUGUAUAUCACUGGCGUGAUGAAGAUAACUUGGAAGAUUUGGCAACUCCAUGGUAGAAUCAGCUGUAAAAGUUUAGUGUUUGUACACUCAUCUAUUCUUAUUCGUUUAUUUUUAUUUAUAUAUUUAUUUAUAUAUUUAUUUAUUUCAUUCGUAUGUGCGUGCGUUUGUGUAUGUGUGUGUGAUUGCAUGAAUUUGUGCGAGUGCGCACGCGUGUUUAGUACACACAGACAAUAAAUAGUUCAGAAUUUAAAUAAAUGAGAUAUUGAAGACCAGAAUUCAUGAAACUAUGAUAUAUUGUGUGAUUAAUUUUCUAUAUUUCUUGUGGAUUUGUGUUUAUGAGCGAUCGGUAGAACAAUAUGAGUGAACGAAUGAAGGAAUUAUAUAUAAAGAUGUAAAAAAAACCGGGACGAAGUAAAGGAAAAGGAAAAAGAGGAAGAUAAGAAGGGAGAUAGAUAGAUAGAUAGAUAGAUAGAUAGAUAGAUAGAUAGAUAGAUAGAUAGAUAGAUAGAUAGAUAGAUAGAUAGAUAGAUAGAUAGAUAGAUAGAGAUAGAUAGAUAGAUAGAUAGAUAGAUAGAUAGAUAGAUAGAUAGAUAGAUAGAUAGAUAGAUAGACAGAUAGAUAGAUAGAUAGAUAGAUAGAUAGAUAGAUAGAUAGAUAGAUAGAUAGAUAGAUAGAUAGACAGAUAGUGAGGGCAAAGAUAGAAGAGAGGGAGAGAGAAAGAAAGAAAGAAAUUACGAAAGAAAGUGAUUGCAAGGAAUAAGGAAGAAACGAGUGAAAGAAUGAAUGAAAGAUAAAGAAAAGAAAUAUAAGCAAGAGCGUAAGAAGAAAGAGAGGAAGAAAGCAAGGAAGAGACAAACAGGGAAGCAAGCAAGAAAGAAAGAAAUAAAAAAGGAAAGACUGAAAGAAUGAAAAAAAGAAAGGAAGGAAGGAAGAAAGGAAGGAAGAGUUAAAACAAAAGGAAACAGUAUGAAAGGAUAACAGAAAGAAAAGGGAAGAAAAAUUGCAGGAUUGGCAGAAAAUAAUAAGAAAAGACUAAGGGAAAGGAAGGGGCAGGAGAAAGAAAACGAGGAACGAAGAGAAGAUAGAGAGAGAGAGCAGGAGAAAUGGAAACAAAGGCAGAUAUGAAGGAUAAUGAAUAAAGAAAUAUAUCGUUUAACCUUUACCUGUUACAGUCAUUGAACUGCGCCCAUUCUGGGACACUGGCUUGAAGGGUUCAGUCAAACAAAUCGUCUUUAGUACUUAUUGUUUAUAUCGGGUCUUUUUAUCGAACCGCAAGGUCACGGGGAAGUAAACAAAUCAGUGCGGAGGGAAAUCACAAACGCAAAGAAACGCAUAUAAUGCACAUAUACUCGACGGUUUUCUUUCAGUUUUUGUCUCCCUAAGCUACUCACAAAGCUUUAGUUGACUCGGGGUAAAAAAAAUACAACAAAUCGCACAAAAUGAUAAAAGUAAUAAUAAUAAUAAUAAUAAUAAUAAUAAUAAUAAUAAUAAUAAAUGCCCUGAUGCAGUACCAGGCAGUGGCUCUCAUGGCUUCUGAUCUUAACUGAUUGGAAGUGUUAUCAUGUACAUUGUUUUGUCUUGGUAUAAAAGAUGGGCUACAGCAAAUAUUCUGCUCAAUACCACAGAUUUGCUUGUCAGUUGUUUGACCUUAACCAGUUGAGCAUGUCCCUUAGUGGCUGACGAUAUGUGCAUCUCUGAUCACGAGCAGAAGUAGUGGGGGAGCAUCAUAGCCAUGUGUUGAGAGGGAUUCUUUGGGGUUUGAAUAGUUCACCUCUGGAAACAUGGGUGGUUCUUUCAACAUCCUUAAACAACCCUUAUUCAGGGACCUUUUGAGCGGGAUGGGCUACUCAACCUGAAGAAAAUUCUAACUGGGCUCCACCUGCAAGGUCAUGUGCUGUUUAUCUUGAUAUGAGAUCACCAUGUCGCGCACAUAUGGUUGUGAUGCAUGUGCCUGGUGUACCUUUAUCAGACGGGUAGUCAUGAUGGGUAUAUUGGGCUUCGUAUAUUUUACCCCAGUGUCACUUUGAUGGCAUGAACUGCUCUCUCACUCAAUAAUAAUAAUAAUAAUAAUAAUAAUAAUAAUAAUAAUAAUAAUAAUAAAAUGAUAAGUAUUAUCUCAAACGAAAUAUAAAAAAAUAAUAAGCAAAAACUGAUGACAGACAUUAAACAAAAUGAAGUCCUUACCACAGAUAAUAUAAUUCAUGUAUUUUUUCUAUCAUGGAUGCAACGAUUUCACAUUACUUUCCAUAGCCCCGUUUCCACCCGCUAUGUUUUUUUAAUAUAAGUCCUUAUUUGGGUUAGAUUUUUUCGCUCUUUACCAGUCAACAGCUGCUUGAAAGACAAAACUUCGUUAAGUCAAUGGAGGAGUCUUUCGACCUGACAGAAAUGGCAAAUAGAUCUGCCGCAAGUUAUCAUACAUUGAACCGUAUUAUAUUAGGGAUUAAUCCAGACAGCUAGAUUGUGACAUGUAAUACACGUACGGGGAAAUAUUCCUCGUUACUAAUAGUUUCACAAAAGCACGAUUCUUCGGACGAUAUUGUAAAUAGAUAGAUAGAUAGGGAGAGAGAGAGGGGGAGAUAGAGAGAUAAAGAGAGAGAGAGAUAGCCGUGUUAUUUAGUACUUUACGAAAAUCUGAAACCAAAAUAUUGUAUACGGUCGUAUAUAUAUAUAUAUAUAUAUAUAUAUAUAUGUAUGUAUAUAAUGUAUAUAUGAGUAUAUAUACGUAUAUAUAUAAAUAUAUAUAUAUAUAUAUAUAUAUAUAUAAGUAUAUAUGCGCACAUAUGUAUGUAUAGUUAGAUAGAUAGGUAGAUGGAUAGAUUGAUUGAUAUUUAGAGAGGUUGAUAGAUAGAAAGAGAGAGAGACAGAUACGUUUAAGUUCGUUUUGCUCCCACGUAUUUUCGAAUUCAGUUCCGUCUCAUGCUUUUUUGAUUAAUGGAUCUUGCUAUAGUCUAGGGCUGACAAAUGUUGUCUGAGUGAAUUUGAUAGACAGACAGUAUGUGGAAGCCAAUCGUGUAUUUAACUAACUAUUUAUUUGUCUCUAUAUAUACAUACAUACAUACACACACGUAUAUUCACACACACGCGUGUGUGUGUGUGUGUGUGUGUGGGCGCGCGAGUGCGAGAUGGUGUUUGCGUCUUUGUAUUUGUAUUCGUUUCUCAUCCUUUCAUAACCGAUGUUUUUUUUAUCUUUGGAUUCUCGUAACUUAGCAGUUCAGCAAAAAGGCAUUGAUACUAUUUCUUUUUUUUCUUUAUUUAUCUAGUUUCAGCUCACUAGCUGUGGCCAUGCUGGGGCACCACCAUUUGGUGUUGCUACAUGAUUUUACUUCACGAAUGCUU
rnacentral:lncRNA from 1 species